rnacentral:rRNA from 2 species
AUGGCACUGCCCGGUAGCUAAAUGCGGAAGAGAUAAGUGCUGAAAGCAUCUAAGCACGAAACUUGCCCCGAGAUGAGUUCUCCCUGACCCUUUAAGGGUCCUGAAGGAACGUUGAAGACGACGACGUUGAUAGGCCGGGUGUGUAAGCGCAGCGAUGCGUUGAGCUAACCGGUACUAAUGAACCGUGAGGCUUAACCUUACAACGCCGAAGCUGUU